UGUUCCCCCUGCUCCAAAAAGACAAAAACGUCACUAUCGGAGUUCAGAGAGUAGCUUGUGCUCAUCCUCCCUAUGCAGCUCUUCUUCAAGCUCUCCACCGCGACACAAACAGCAUUUCUCCAGAACCAGAUUCAGCCGGUCCAGAUCAAGUUCUUGGUCUAGGUCCAGGUCUCGAUCCCGGUCAUAUUCACCCCCUCAGAGAGUCAAAACAAGAAGAAGAUUGGGAGAUGUCUGCAGUAGCCGAGAGUCAAGGAAACUCAGGAGGGAGCAGGAAAUAAGGACCCAGAAACUCAGAGCCAUUGAUGAGCGGCGAGUGGUGUCGUGGGCCGUAUUCGCAGAACCAUGACACACGAGGAAACUCCGAGAACGCUUUGCUCAGUUGGGGA